rnacentral:rRNA from 1 species
AGUGAACGCUGGCGGUAGGCCUAACACAUGCAAGUCGAACGGCAGCACAGUAAGCGCUUGCUCUUACGGGUGGCGAGUGGCGGACGGGUGAGGAAUACAUCGGAAUCUACUUUUUCGUGGGGGAUAACGUAGGGAAACUUACGCUAAUACCGCAUACGACCUACGGGUGAAAGCAGGGGAUCUUCGGACCUUUCGCGAUUGAAUGAGCCGAUGUCGGAUUAGCUAGUUGGCGGGGUAAAGGCCCACCAAGGCGACGAUCCGUAGCUGGUCUGAGAGGAUGAUCAGCCACACUGGGACUGAGACACGGUCCAGACUCCUACGGGAGGCAGCAGUGGGGAAUAUUGGACAAUGGGCGCAAGCCUGAUCCAGCCAUACCGCGUGGGUGAAGAAGGCCUUCGGGUUGUAAAGCCCUUUUGUUGGGAAAGAAAAGCAGCAGGUUAAUACCCCGCUGUUCUGACGGUACCCAAAGAAUAAGCACCGGCUAACUUCGUG